rnacentral:lncRNA from 1 species
UAUGGAGGACAUGUGCAUACAAGGGCAGCUGAUUGUACAGUGUGACGCUGGGGAAUAUUUGUGGUAGGGUAUAUAGUUUAUUUGAUGUAUACCAUCUCAUAAUGAACUAUUUACUUCACUCAGAAUCUUGUAACCAGUACCAUUAACCGACACCAGUGACACGUCCGUGUUCUCACUCAGAAGCACAGAAUCUGUUAGUUAAGUCAAUGCAGAUAUCGGUCCUGAAGUAUUUUGUAUCUUUAAGCAAUUAAGUAACCAAUGUAAACAUCUCACAUUUCUCCUGACCUGUCUUUUCCAGAAUUGAACGACAGCGUAGCAUUGAGCUCGUCAGAUCGAAUGCAUGCUCUCAGCCUCAAGCUUGUCCUCCUCGGCAAAAUCUAUGCUGGGACGCCUCGGUUUUUCCCUCUGGGUAAGCAGUGACUUUGCUAUCUUAUCUUCUGUUUAAUAGUUUUUCUCCAUUGGGAAACUUCACUGGCCCAUAGAGAUUCUUUUUGCUAUGCAUCUGUUUACUGUUUAGUUCAGCAGUGUUAAUUCUGAUUCUCCAGGGGGAAAAAAAAUCCCUGAAGGGUAACACAUUUGUUAAUGAAUAGCUGACUAUGAAAUUUUUUUCUUGAAUAGAUUUUUAAGUUUCUAUAUCAUUUUUGGAAUUAUGUUUACUGACAAACUAUAUAGUUUAAGUGAUUAUACAGUUGGAAAACUGGUACAAGUAUCAAGAAACAAAAAUGGCCUAUGAUUUUGUGUAUUAAUAGUAAUUUGAGAUUCAGCUGUUCUCUAUUGCAUUAAAGUGACAGUGGGUGGGUUGUGUGUCUCUGUGUUUCUGUGUGACAGCAUUUUGCCCAGAUUGACCUCAAACCCAGGAUGUUCUUGCCCCAGCCUCCUGAGUACAGGAAUUACAGGUGUAGGUGUGCACCAUACCUGAUCUUUCUCUGCAUCUCACCCUCUUUCUCAGGCUUUCCUCACGUCUUUCCUCUUCCAUGCGUGCGAGCGUGAGAGAGUGAGAGACAGAGACAGAGACAGGCAGGCAGGGAGAGUGGGAGAGCAGAUAGCCUGAAGUGUUCCUGGUUCUUGAUUGGUCAGCAAGGCCAUAGGAACCCACCUAUCUAUCUCUGCCUCAGUGAUAAAAUUACAAGCUUAUACCACCAUAUCUAGAAUUUUUUUCCAUGGUGUCAAAAUCAUGUUUUGAUGCUUUAAAGAGAAACAUUUUCCCAAAUGACCUACUUCACUGGCCCUCAAAUAUGUUUGAAAUUCAUUUUCAGAUAGACACUUGAAACUACUCUUAUUUAUAAAACAAUUAGAUAAUUUGCUGUAUCAAGAGUUAAAAGUCCAAAUUUCUGGGAAGUGAUGGCUGGCUUAGCAAUGAGAACGCUUGUUCCUGCUGAGGACCUGGGUUCAGUUGCCAUCGUCCACAUGGGUGCUCACAGAAGUGUGUGACUGCAAUCCUAGGCUCAUUUCUGGCUCAUUUCUACACCAAGUAUACAUGUGGUAUAUAUGCGUACAUGCAGGCAAAGCACUCAUAUCGUUAAGCAAUAAAAAUGAAUCAUGUAGUAAUUCUUAUUUUUGACUUUUCCCCCCAGAUUUUAUCGUGCAGUUCUUGGAGCAGCAAGUUUGUACCUUAAACUGGGAUGUGGGGUUUGUGAUACAGACCAUGAAUGAAAUCGGCGUGCCUUUACCUAGGCUGCUAGAAGUUUAUGAUCAGCUCUUCAAAUCACGGGUAAGGCAAACAAAAUGAUCUCCCCAGAUACAGGUGAGAUUUUUGACUCCAGGUAUAGGUAGGUUAUCAUUUAGGUUGGAUGUGUUGAGUGCAGAUAUGCUUCAUAUGCAAGGGGAGUGAACUAGGGACUCUUAUCUGAGAGUGUCUUUGCUGUGUAUCAUAACUAAAAUGAAGUGCUAAUACUUUAUAUCGGUGAGCAUAAUUAUUUGUAUUUACUCUUGUCUUCAUGGGUAAUCCAAAGUGGGGACUAUUUCUGGGGUCACAUCCCACGGCCUUGCACACUUGACAUGUGCUGUACCAUCAGACUAUGAUUCUCAGCUGCUCGCUUUAAGCACACAAAAUAACAGUACAUUUAGACAUGUGACUUCAUUUUAGAAAAUCUUUUGUAAGGGAUAGGGAGAUACUCAGCCAAUAACGUGCUUCUCAUUCCAAGAUUGCUUCCCUGAGCCCUAUAAAAACUAAAUGCAAUGUUGUAUGUUUAUAAUCCCAGCACUGGAAAGGCUGAGAUGGUAAAAGGCAUCCUGGGGCUUUCUAGCUGUGCAUUCAAUGAGACACUGUCUCGUGUGUGUGUGUGUGUGUGUGUGUGUGUGUGUGUGUGUGUGUGCGUGUGCGUGUGCGUGUGCGUGCGCGUGCACAUGCAUGUGUGCAGGUGCAAUAGUGUUAUCUAUCAGUGCUGUUUGUUUUCCUGAGACAGGGUCUUGCCAUAUAUAGUCCAUGCUGGCCUUGAACUUGGGAUCCUCUACCUAAGCUUCCUAAGUGAACUAGGUGACACAGCAUCUGCCUUGUAACCAUGUCUUCCAAGGCAUCUUUUGCUUGUUCAGUAAUAACUCAACUUUCCCUCAUAAUGAAAAUAGUACUUCAACUUACAAUGAGUCAGCGUGUUCUAGUCGUAAAGUUCUGUAACUCUUACUCUGUGUUCAGAGUGCAUAAAUUCAAAGGGAAGUAGGCUACAGCCCAUAGAAAUAGUAGUUUUUCCUUAAUUUUAUAUUAUAUUGUCUAAUGAUAAUUCAAUUUUUUGU